rnacentral:snRNA from 1 species
GUCCUCACUUCAGCAGCACACAUACUAAAAACUGAAAUGGUACAGAGACUAGCAUGGUCCCUGCACAAGGAUGACACGCAAAUUCGUGAAGCGUUCCGUAUUAAA